rnacentral:lncRNA from 1 species
CGGAAAUAAACACAAUUAUUCUAAAACCAGUUGUUUGCAUGAUAUAGGUUAUGUUCUCACAUAUUAUAUGAUGGUAUGAUACUAAACCCCUAACGGGAGGGUUUGUGCUUGAUUUUCAUAAGAUGAAGACAUAAUUUUCAAACAGUUUAAUUGAGAUCUGGAGCUCGCAUGUCAGUAAAGUUCUGCUAGUAAUCCUUUGUUAAUUUAUGUAUCAUUGUCAUUUUGCUUAUUUUCUGUCGUUACCUAUUCUGGCAUCGGACUCGGACUUCUUUAGACUUUACUCUAUUGCUGUGCGUUUGUAUAUUCUAUAUUUACUAGAGGUAUAGAGGAGCGUUUAGAUCUCACAAAACAUGUAUAAACCCCGACGCAUUUAUACGCCUGUCCUAAGUUCGCAGCCUCUCGCCUAUGUUAAUCUUGUAUAUUUUUUUUUAUUUUAGUUCGGCUGUUUUUUGCUCAAUGGUCACGUUGUUGCCCACAUACGUUAUGCGUUUUGUUCAUUGUUGAAGGCAUUUCUAAACAUGUAGCUGCUUAUAUUCCCGUCAUUUUCACUCUGCUGGUUAGUUGUCACACUGUCAAUUAACCUACAAUUUCUUAUUAAAUAAUUUCUGAUUUAAUAAUCGGAUAAUUCAAGAAAGGUAUUGUUUGUUAAACGUCAAUAUAUUAGUUGUUUUUGUUGGAAUUCAGUGUUCCUGUUGUUUUCC